rnacentral:misc_RNA from 1 species
UGGCUCUGGCAUCGAUGAAGAACGCAGCGAAAUGCGAUAAGUAAUGUGAAUUGCAGAAUUAGUGAAUCAUCGAAUCUUUGAACGCACAUUGCGCCUUUUGGUAAUCCGAAAGGCAUAUCUGUUCGAGCGCCGAUUGGUGGUAAAGCUUAGCUUUGUGUUGGUACUGCAGAUUGCAGUAUUAAAUUCCAUCGGCGUUGUAAAACUCUAGAUGCAUAACAAACUGUGCAGAAGAGCAUGGCAACGGCCUGUUUAGUCAAGCUUGGCCUCGAAUCAGAUAGGGAUACCCGCUGA